GACGUAGGGCGCGAGCGUUGUCCGGAUUUAUUGGGCGUAAAGAGCUCGUAGGCGGCUUGUCGCGUCGAAUGUGAAAACUCGGGGCUCAACUCCGAGCUUGCAUUCGAUACGGGCAGGCUAGAGUUCGGUAGGGGAGACUGGAAUUCCUGGUGUAGCGGUGAAAUGCGUAGAUAUCAGGAGGAACACCGGUGGCGAAGGCGGGUCUCUGGGCCGAUACUGACGCUGAGGAGCGAAAGCGUGGGGAGCGAACAGG
rnacentral:rRNA from 1 species